GCUUGUUUUGGCAGCACUUUACUAAAUAGAAAUGAUAUAGAAAAGAUUAGCAUUGCCCAAGCACAAAGAUGACACACAAUUUCGUGAAGCAGAGAACAUAUAA
ensembl:snRNA U6 U6 spliceosomal RNA